rnacentral:lncRNA from 1 species
UAAAUUUUGGCAGUUUCUAAUAAAGCUGUUGCAUAGUCUUACAUGUGAAGAAAGACUAGUGGAAUAAUGUUGAAUAACUUUCAAAUGUUUAUUGGUUUUGUCAAAAAAAGAGAAUAGAAAUCAAUACUUAUUUUGAUUUAUUUUUUCAAUGUUUAAAUACGUAUGACUUUGGUGACUUCUUAAUAAAGCUUUUGCAUAGUCUGACAUGUGAAGUAAGACUUGUGAAAUCAUGGUGAAUAAUUUUAAGAUGUUUAUUGGAUUUUUCAAAAAAAGAGCAUAGAAAUCAAUACUUAUUUUGAUUUAUCUUUUCAAUGUUUAAAUACUAAUGAAUUUUGGGACUUUCUAAUAAAGCUUUUGCAUAGGGUUACAUGUGAAGAAAGACUAGUGGAAUAAUGGUGAAUAACUUUCAGAUGGUUAUUGGUUUUGUCAAAUAAAGAGCAUAGAAAUGAAUACUGAUUUUGAUUUAUUUUUUCAACGUUUAAAUACCAAUGAAUUUUGGCACUUUCUAAUAAAGCUUUUGCAUUCGCUUACAUGUGAACAGAGACUAGUAGAAUAAUGUUGAAUCAUUUUAAGAAGCCUUUUGGUUUUGUCAAAAAAAGAGCAUAGAUAUCAAUACUUGAUUAUCUCAAUAAUACAAAUUGCUCUAUAGUUUCCAAAAAAAAAACUGAUUUUUGAAGGCAAUUUAUCGCAAUCUU